GGCCAGAUAGCUCAGUUGGUAGAGCAGAGGACUGAAAAUCCUUGUGUCGCUGGUUCGAUUCCAGUUCUGGCCA
rfam:Criblamydia sequanensis, CRIB-18, WGS project CCEJ01000000 data, contig: 9